AUUGAACGCUGGCGGCAUGCCUUACACAUGCAAGUCGAACGGCAGCACGGGAGCAAUCCUGGUGGCGAGUGGCGAACGGGUGAGUAAUAUAUCGGAACGUGCCCAGUCGUGGGGGAUAACGUAGCGAAAGCUACGCUAAUACCGCAUACGAUCUAUGGAUGAAAGCGGGGGAUCGCAAGACCUCGCGCGAUUGGAGCGGCCGAUAUCAGAUUAGGUAGUUGGUGAGGUAAAGGCUCACCAAGCCGACGAUCUGUAGCUGGUCUGAGAGGACGACCAGCCACACUGGAACUGAGACACGGUCCAGACUCCUACGGGAGGCAGCAGUGGGGGAAUUUUUGGACAAUGGACGCAAGUCUGAUCCAGCCAUUCCGCGUGCAGGAUGAAGGCCCUCGGGUUGUAAACUGCUUUUGUACGGAACGAAACGGUGAGCUCUAAUACAGUUUGCUAAUGACGGUACCGUAAGAAUAAGCACCGGCUAACU
rnacentral:rRNA from 1 species